AAACUAUGGUUGUAUCACUUGCUUUUGCUAUGUCAGCCAUGCUAGAAAGCGUUGUGUGGUGUAGGUGGUUUCUCAUAGUUUUAGUGUUGUCAGAUUUGUUGACAAAGAGAUAAAUUACGAUGCAAAUUGACACUAUGUGAUGUGAUGAGUGAUGACGAUUUGGGUACUUUGGUUAAUUGAGCAUGAACUUCGAGGAAAAUAAAAGCUUCUGGUGUAUGAAAGCUCCUCCAAGUCUCAUCAUGGUCCAUGAUACUUAACCAUCCUCAAAACGUUAACACAACCUUACUUGACUGGGGGAGAGCAAGAUGGGAGAUGAACAAGGUCCACACUGGCAUCAUGCGACAAUCUUUCAAGAGAAUGGAAUUUGGAGGUUGUUGGCUUUCAUGUCACACAUGUUAUUGUUAAUCACUGUUGUAUAUUGCUGAGAAGGGGAUAAACAACUACAGAUUUAAUUUGCAUUUGAAAUGCCUUUUGUUUUCUGCAACAUUGAUUGUACCAAAACUUAGUUAGUUUCCAUACCGAUGGCUUGAUGGUGUGUAAUGGACAA